rnacentral:rRNA from 1 species
UACGUAGGGGGCAAGCGUUGUCCGGAUUUACUGGGCGUAAAGGGCUCGUAGGCGGCCAACUAAGUCCGACGUGAAAUCCCCAGGCUUAACCUGGGAACUGCGUCGGAUACUGGAUGGCUUGAAUCCGGGAGAGGGAUGCGGAAUUCCAGGUGUAGCGGUGAAAUGCGUAGAUAUCUGGAGGAACACCGGUGGCGAAGGCGGCAUCCUGGACCGGCAUUGACGCUGAUGAGCGAAAGCCAGGGGAGCAAACGGG